rnacentral:rRNA from 1 species
CCUACGGGGAGCAGCAGUGGGGGAUAGUGCACAAUGGGGGAAACCCUGAUGCAGCGACGCCGCGUGGGGGAAGACGGUCCUCUGGAUUGUAAACCACGGUCCCCAGGGACGAAGAUGACGGGACCUGGGGAGGAAGCGCCGGCUAACUACGUGCCAGCAGCCGCGGUAAUACGGAGGGAGCGAGCGUGGUCCGGAAUUACUGGGUGGAAAGGGAGCGUAGGCGGGGAGGCAAGUGGGGUGUCAAAACUACCGGCUCAACUGGGAGUCGCACUCAAAACUGCAGCUCUUGAGUGAAGUAGAGGCAGGCGGCCUUCCUAUUGUUGCGGUGACAUGCGUAGCUCUUAGUCG